rnacentral:rRNA from 1 species
AUGCCCCGUAAAAACGGCUGCGGUGCUGGCGACAAGUCAUCGCGUGAGAAGGGCGACGAUCUGGUCUCCCCGAGAAGCGUCCUCGAGGGAUGCACGACGUCGAGCGAUGUUGACGCCGCCGCAAUGACGGACGAGACGAUGGGGUCGUCGACGACGAAGACGGGCGUUGUCGCCGCGCCGUCCACGCCCGCGCCGCCGCGAAACGACGGGCUUCCGGCCGCGUGGAAGGGCGCCAUGGAGGCGUGGAGGUCAAGGACCAAACGCCGCCUCUCCAGCGGCAUCCCGUCAACCAUGUCGUCGAAGCUCAGGAGCUUGAGCAUCCGCGGCAGCAGCAAGUGGCGGUGGCCGUCGGCGGGGCAGGUGAACGUGGAACAGCACGACCUGUGCGCGCUGAGGCUAUCCUUCUGGACCUUCUCGCUGUCGGAGCUGAGGAAGGCCACCCGCAACUUCAGCAAGGAGAACGUGGUGGGCAGGGGCGGUAACGCCAAGGUGUACCGCGGCCUCCUGUCGGACGGGCAGCUGGUCGCCGUGAAGAAGCUGUCGGCGACCGAGAAUGACCGCAUGGAGAGCUUCCUGUUGGAGGUGGGGCACGCGGUGAACGUACGCCACCCGAACGUGGCGAGGCUGGCUCCACGGGGGCUCCGGCGAGGAGGGGGCCAUGCCGUGGGAGGCGAGGUACAAGGAGGCGCGGCCAGCGGGCUAGAGUACCUCCACGAGCGGUGCGCCCGGAGGAUCGUGCACCGGGACGUCAAGCCCGCCAACAUCCUGCUCAAAGACGACUACGAGCCACUGAUAUGUGACUUUGGGCUAGCAAAGUGGCUGCCGGCCAAGCUGACGCACUACCAAGUGACCAUCUUCGAAGGCACAUUUGGGUCGAUGUACAGGUACGUGCCGCCCGAGUACACGACGCACGGGAUCUUCAACGAGAAGACGGACGUGUUCGCCUUUGGCGUCGUGCUGCUCGAGCUCCUCACCGGCCGGCGCGCCAUCGACGGCAAAAACCACUGCCUCGUUGCAUGGGUACGAUCCUUCCUCAGCAGCAAGGACGAGGUCUUGAAGAUGGUCGACCCCGCUCUAGGAGGUCGAUACGACGUGGAGCAGCUCCGCCGCGUCACGCACGCCGCCCAACUCUGCAUCCACACCUCGCCGGCCCAAAGGCCACGGAUGAGCCAGUUGUAA